UGGCGGGGGAUACCACCCAUACCACCUACCACUACCGUCCUUUUUUCAACAUUUCAUUAUUAAUUAAUCAUGAAGCAAAGAAUGUAAUGGUUUUUCAUAUUGGUUGGUUAUAAAUCUUUUGGUUAAAUAUAACAGUGAUGUUAAAGUGUACAAAGUGUUCUCAAUAAAUUAAAUAUAUCAGCCAUAACCUCCAAUGAAUGCAUUUUGGAGUAAACCAGCUCAAUUGACAUGCGAUAACAUUUUCUAAAAUCAAGUGAUCCGACCAAUACUCAUAAAAAUUGAUUGGGAAUUAGGAUAACAGUGAAGAAAGGGAUGUUUUCCAAGCUUCACCUCUUAGGAAAAUUGUGGUCAUGGAAGUAAGGACAACACAUCACUCACUGGGACCAUUCCCAUUCAAAACUAAGGACUCAAAAUUUUUGUACAUACGGAUAUAAUAGAGAGAUUAAUAGUGUAUACACUCAGAAAGGCCUAACUCGCGAAGUUAUGGCGUCGACAAUUCAUUCAUUCAAUCCUCAGCCCCCGUAGAAGGACCCCUGGACUACAAGACAGGGUCUUCGAAUGAGUCAACAUCUCAUAAGCAUUUAGUGUCAAAAUACAAGGUGAGAAGAACGAGGAGGACAACACGAGACUGAGCUACCACUAAUCAAGGACUUCCAUUUUCUAUGUGAAGGGGUUGGCCCUUGACCCUAUCGUCGUUUACUACCCUGAGGAACUCAAAUGGCCAUUAAGAUGUCCAAUCAGUCCUUUGCGGUUGAUGCACAGUCUGUUGUUGACUCUUUGCACGAAACCCUAUGUCAUGAGAAUGUAAUUAUGGAAUCGCGGAACGAAACCGCUGUUGCAGUGUUUUGUUCUGUUGACUGAUGUACUUGUUUGCAUCUGUGGGGCACACAUUUUUAAUGUUAAAAUUCGUCCGUCACCCACUGAAAAAUCAGCAAUAGAAUUAUGGAAAUGAGCUCAGUAUUUCACUUUCAGUACGUAAAUAUGAAACAAAAGAGUUGAAUUAAUGCGACGAGAUAAUGAAUUAAUACUAAAAUCAAUUUUCGUGUCAUUAGAUGCUUAACAGUGUUUGGCACUUUAGCAGUAUUCAUGGCUAAACUAAUAAAAUUCAAACUUGACGAAGUAACGACGAUUAAACUCGCUUUCUCAUGCUUCCAUUCGUCUACAAAACAUUCCUACUCAACAGCAUCACAUGGCCCGACGGAUCCAACGUACAUAAUUGCAGAACGAAUUUACUGACAUUUUAAAUAACAAUUCUUUACAAUCAUAGCUUCACUGACAUUUCAAAUAACAAUUCUAUACAAUCAUAGUUGGAAAAAUUUCAUAUAAAAAAUGUGUCUUGACAUUUGAAGGACAAGGAAAAACCUGGCCAGGUUCAGUAGAAGUGAGAGUAUCAUGAAUAGUUUUAAAAGAGAAUGUCAAAAAUCCUUUCAUAGAGGUCCUUUUCGACAAAGAAACGUCUAUUGACAUUUCUAUUCAACACGUCUAUUGUUAUUUGUCCCACAAAUAACCAAUUAUUCAGUUUACUUCAUAAUUCUGUGAUUCAACAUUCGCGUAUUGAAAAUUUCAUUUUCCUAUUUUUUGUUCUCUAGGUCAACGAAAUAACAUCUCGUAUCCUUCGCUGAUUGGUGCAACACCUUGGAAAUUAGCGCAGAUUAUGGUAAAAGCACUAUGAUCUAUGAGCCUGCUAUUUUUCGUGGCUUCCUUAAAGAGACCUUUCUCUAUCAGAACACUGCACUAUAUUUAUAAUAGAUAUUGGAGCCUCCUUACCAAGUGCUUGUAUCCAGCUGAGGACAUUAAAAAUCAUAAUCGCGUAAAAUUCGUGUAAAAAUCCAAUUUUAGUUUACAAAAAACUUGUCAUUGGAAAGUGGUAGAAAUUAACUCACAUGAAUAAUAAAUUGUAAUGACAACAUAUUCUCGUGGCAUUUUCACUCCAGACAUAUUCUAAUGUAAUUUCCAGCAUUACAAUGCUCUACCCCAAGGUAAUUUGAUUUACUUUGAAAGGAAAGGUGAAUGAACAAACUUUGAUUAAAAAUUGAUAUUUGCAAGGACUGAAAAUGAACGCCAAUAAAUUUGAAAUUCUGACGUGAUUGACAACAA